CACACACACAUUUUCAGAACCGCUUGUCCCAUACGGGGUCACAGGGAACCGGAGCUUACCCGGCAACACAGGGCGUAAGGCCGGAGGGGGAGGGGACACACCCAGGACGGGACGCCAGUCCACCGCAAGGCACCCCAAGCGGGACUCAAACCCCAGACCCACCAGAGAGCAGGACCUGGUCCAACCCACUGCGCCACCGCACCCCGCUUUAAAAAUAUAACUUUGAACAAAUGUGAAAUAAAAUACUAUCACUGCACAAAAGAUUUAAAUUAAAAAAAAAGAUUUAAAUUUUACACAAAAAUUAUUUCAAACCCCUUUGCUGAACUACCAUGAAUAGCUACAAAACAAAUGUACAAAUACCUUUGCACCAGGCAACCAUCGAACCCACAACCGAAGACUUUGAAAGUCACAGUUUGGUGUUUACAGUUGUUAUUUAUGGGAAUAGUUAUUGUUUGUAUUCUACAGACUUCUUUUCUCCCACACACACGAAGCCCUUUAACUAAUGUAAUAACUACAGCUGCUGUGCUGUAGUGUGGAAUGUGUAAAAUAUAAUACAAUGCUGACUUUCACUCCACUACACCACGAAGGCCCCAACAAAUGAGAUGUGAAGCAGUUGUUGUGUAAUCAGGUCUUAAACACACUUGAGAAGCUGCGCAAAAUGGCAAUAACCGCUUGUCCCAUACGGGGUCACGGAGCCUACCCGGCAACACAGGGCGUAAGGCCGGAGGGGGAAGGGGACACACCCAGGACAGGACGCCAGUCCGCCGCAAGGCACCCCAAGCGGGACUUGAACCCCAGACCCACCGAAGAGCAGGACUGCGGUCCAACCUACUGCGCCACCGCACCCCCUGCAUUAAUCACAUU
rnacentral:lncRNA from 1 species